UACGUAGGGAGCAAGCGUUGUUCGGAUUUACUGGGCGUAAAGAGCGCGCAGGCGGUCGUUCAAGUCGCGUGUGAAAGCCCCCGGCUCAACUGGGGAGGGUCACGCGAUACUGAUCGACUCGAAGGCAGGAGAGGGUAGUGGAAUUCCUGGUGUAGCGGUGAAAUGCGCAGAUAUCAGGAAGAACACCCGUGGCGAAGGCGGCUCUCUGGUACGUGACUGACGCUGAGACGCGAAAGCGUGGGGAGCGAACAGG
rnacentral:rRNA from 1 species